rnacentral:siRNA from 1 species
CCAUUCACUCGAUCCAGGCAGC